AAACUCUGUUCUAAACUGUUCAGUUCUCAUUCCUCUUACUGAUGGCUACUACUACUGGUAUAUACUGGUGUCUUGUAUUGACUGGAUGUACUUUGAGUCUUGUUGUAUCUGUAAAAGGACAAAGUAUAUCAUUCAAUCAGAGCAGUCCUAGUGGGCCUGUGUGUCCUGGAGAUAGACUGGUGUUCACUUGUGUGGUGGAAAGUACAGGAGGAGGAGUAGCAUGGAGAAGGAAUAAUAAAAAAAAGCUUCAACUCUAACUUAUGGUGGAAUAAUUCUUACACUUGAUGAUUUCACAUUAAAUAUUACCAGUUUUGGUAAUACAACUAAUGUGGAUGUACUAGUUAGUACUGCUACUAAUCCUCCAGUUCCAGUAGAAUUGAAUGAAACUACUAUUGGUUGUUCAGCUGAUGUAGUAACCUUUGCUACAUUAACUAUUAACAUAGCAGGUCCACCAACAACACCAGUU